rnacentral:sRNA from 1 species
ACAGGCCGGGCUGCCUGAGGUUGGCGUUCGGAGUGACCCAGCUAGAGGGGUGCUUCCUCCAGGGCUGCUGAAAGCUGGGGGCCCUAAUGCUGGGUUCUCAUGUCUGUCAGCCUGUUGGGAGCGCUGGUGGCAGCUGGGCUGUCAGAUCACUGCACCAGCUUUCCUGUGGCCCCUUCCUCAAAGGGACUGUGAGCAGGCUGUGGUCCACGUGGAGACCACCUUGUACCUGGUGCCCUGUUUGAACGAUUGUGGACCCUAUGGCCAGUGCCUCCUGCUCCGCAGACACAGCUACCUGUAUGCCAGCUGCAGCUGCAAGGCAGGCUGGCGUGGGUGGAGCUGCACGGACAAUAGCACAGCCCAGACGGUGGCCCAGCAGAGGGCGGCCACACUGCUGCUCACGCUCAGCAACCUCAUGUUCCUGGCCCCCAUCGCCGUCUCAGUGCGGCGAUUCUUCCUGGUGGAGGCUUCCGUCUACGCCUACACCAUGUUCUUCUCCACGGUAGGCUGGCCCCUCCUGCAGGGAUGUGGGGUGGGAGGGCAGGACCGCGCUCAUGGAGCCUCCCCACAGUUCUACCAUGCCUGCGACCAGCCUGGGGAGGCGGUGCUGUGCAUCCUCAGCUACGACACGCUGCAGUACUGCGACUUCUUGGGCUCCGGGGUGGCCAUCUGGGUCACCAUCCUGUGCAUGGCACGGCUCAAGACAGUCCUGAAAUAC